CUUUUUCAUGGUCAGAUUUCAUUUAGCAUCCGGGUGAAAUGAAGACAGAUGUUGUCCUGCGACUGUGAGCUACAGUCCAGCUGCUGCUGCGGAGACCUACAGAUCUUUCUCCCUCUUCAAAAGGAACCAAAGGAAGUUUCAAUUGAUUCACACCCUUCUGUAGAACUGAGGCUGAAGGAGGUCUGCAGUUGGCUGAUGUCGUUGCGGACGCUGAUGUCCAGGCAGUGGACUCCGGUGGAGGUGAAGCUGUGGUUCAGUCUCAGGGUGUUUUCAUACAACAUGGUCAGUGUGCAGCCCCCUGUCGUGUCGGGCACACACAUAGGCAGGAAACGCCAGCACACCCACAU